GUGGACCUGUCUACUGCACGUGUCCGGAGUCGGAUCAUCUCGGGACCUGAGGUAGUAUACCGACCAUAGGGUGGUUGGAAAGUCCCUGGAUUAGCCGCACAGUACUCUGCUGAGCGCCGCUACUUUCUGGGGACCUAUGGAGCGGUUGUAUAUUAAGGGGAGAGAGUUGAUAUCCAGCACUCUUCUGAUGUUUUCGUUGUUCCUGCUUCCCCACCACGUCACAUAUUCGACGAGAGAGAGUUGUCGAGCAUGGCUGAGGAGUCUGGUUCCCUCUGGCGGUCCCAUGUGAUCCUUGAGCGGAGUUAUGCUGAGGAGCUACUUCCUUUGUUAGCUCCAGCCCCUGUGCCGGCCGAGGAUGUGAGGGAUGGUCCUACUGAGUUCGCGCCACCCUGUAUGUCCAUCCACUACCAGGCGACGUACGGGCCGAUCGAGGAGAUGAUUUCUCCGGCUCCUGAGGGCGAGCUCUUU